rnacentral:lncRNA from 1 species
GUUCUUGGCGUGAUCGACUUUCGGACGUCGCUUGGCAAGGACGGUGCGAUCAUACAUCGUGAGGACUCCAUGCUUUGACCGGUGUGCUUGGGCUUCCCUUGGACGAGCGUUUAUCCGUGUGAUAAUGGAUUAGAAUUCCAAUAGGAUCAAUCAUGGCGGGCAGAGAGGAGCUGUGAACAUGGUGGACAUGCUGUCGGGCGAUCGAUCUGAUUUCCUCGUUAGACUUAACACCCUCAGAGAUUACUAACCGGGGCCGUUCAUCACACAGCAAUUGGGCAGUGACAGCGCGGAAGUGAUCUUAUGUCUUUGGGGACGUUAUUCCGUCUACACACGGGGACGAGGACGUGGGCGUCUUUGGGGACAUCAUUCUGUCUACACACGGGAAUCAGGACGCGGACGUCUUUGGGGACGUUACUCUGUCUACACACGGGGACGAGGACGUGGACGUCUUUGGGAACGUUACUCUGUCUACACAUGGGGACGAGGACGUGGGCGUCUUUGGGGACGUUCUUCCGUCUACACACGGGAACGAGGACGUGGGCGUCUUUGGGGACGUUCUUCCGUCUACACACGGGGACGAGGACGUGGGCGUCUUUGGGGACGUUCUUCCGUCUACACACGGGGACGAGGACGUGGGCGUCUUUGGGGACGUUCUUCCGUCUACACACGGGGACGAGGACGUGGGCGUCUUUGGGGACGUCAUUCUGUCUACACAAGGGGACAAGGACGUGGGCGUCUUUGGGGAUGUUCUUCUGUCUACACACGGGGACGAGGACGUGGGCGUCUUUGGGGACGUUCUUCCGUCUACACACGGGGACAAGGACGUGGGCAUCUUUGGGGAUGUUCUUCCGUCUACACACGGGGACGAGGACGUGGGCGUCUUUGGGGACGUUCUUCCAUCUACACACGGGGACAAGGACGUGGGUGUCUUUGGGGACGUUCUUCUGUCUACACACGGGGAUGAGGACGUGGGCGUCUUUGGGGACGUUCUUCUGUCUACACACGGGGACGAGGACGUGGACGUCUUUACGGACGUUAUUCCGUCUACACACGGG